UUAAGUUAUUAAGGGCGCACGGUGGAUGCCUUGGCACUAGAAGCCGAUGAAGGACGUUACUAACGACGAUAUGCUUUGGGGAGCUGUAAGUAAGCUUUGAUCCAGAGAUUUCCGAAUGGGGAAACCCAGCAUGAGUUAUGUCAUGUUAUCGAUAUGUGAAUACAUAGCAUAUCAGAAGGCACACCCGGAGAACUGAAACAUCUUAGUACCCGGAGGAAGAGAAAGAAAAUUCGAUUCCCUUAGUAGCGGCGAGCGAAACGGGAAGAGCCCAAACCAACAAGCUUGCUUGUUGGGGUUGUAGGACACUCUAUACGGAGUUACAAAGGACGACAUUAGACGAAUCAUCUGGAAAGAUGAAUCAAAGAAGGUAAUAAUCCUGUAGUCGAAAAUGUUGUCUCUCUUGAGUGGAUCCUGAGUACGACGGAGCACGUGAAAUUCCGUCGGAAUCUGGGAGGACCAUCUCCUAAGGCUAAAUACUCUCUAGUGACCGAUAGUGAACCAGUACCGUGAGGGAAAGGUGAAAAGCACCCCGGAAGGGGAGUGAAAUAGAACCUGAAACCGUGUGCUUACAAGUAGUCAGAGCCCGUUAAUGGGUGAUGGCGUGCCUUUUGUAGAAUGAACCGGCGAGUUACGAUUUGAUGCAAGGUUAAGCAGUAAAUGUGGAGCCGUAGCGAAAGCGAGUCUGAAUAGGGCGUUUAGUAUUUGGUCGUAGACCCGAAACCAGGUGAUCUACCCUUGGUCAGGUUGAAGUUCAGGUAACACUGAAUGGAGGACCGAACCGACUUACGUUGAAAAGUGAGCGGAUGAACUGAGGGUAGCGGAGAAAUUCCAAUCGAACCUGGAGAUAGCUGGUUCUCUCCGAAAUAGCUUUAGGGCUAGCCUCAAGUGAUGAUUAUUGGAGGUAGAGCACUGUUUGGACGAGGGGCCCCUCUCGGGUUACCGAAUUCAGACAAACUCCGAAUGCCAAUUAAUUUAACUUGGGAGUCAGAACAUGGGUGAUAAGGUCCGUGUUCGAAAGGGAAACAGCCCAGACCACCAGCUAAGGUCCCAAAAUAUAUGUUAAGUGGAAAAGGAUGUGGCGUUGCCCAGACAACUAGGAUGUUGGCUUAGAAGCAGCCAUCAUUUAAAGAGUGCGUAAUAGCUCACUAGUCGAGUGACACUGCGCCGAAAAUGUACCGGGGCUAAACAUAUUACCGAAGCUGUGGAUUGUCCUUUGGACAAUGGUAGGAGAGCGUUCUAAGGGCGUUGAAGCAUGAUCGUAAGGACAUGUGGAGCGCUUAGAAGUGAGAAUGCCGGUGUGAGUAGCGAAAGACGGGUGAGAAUCCCGUCCACCGAUUGACUAAGGUUUCCAGAGGAAGGCUCGUCCGCUCUGGGUUAGUCGGGUCCUAAGCUGAGGCCGACAGGCGUAGGCGAUGGAUAACAGGUUGAUAUUCCUGUACCACCUAUAAUCGUUUUAAUCGAUGGGGGGGAC
rnacentral:rRNA from 1 species